AGAGCAGUGAGCUGGCCCAAAGGGCGAAGAUGAUUUUGAUCCUCUGGAUGAGCAGGAGGUGAAGAAAGGCACAGGAGAAGUGUUAUAAAAAAUGAUGCACAUCUCUGGAGUGUGCCACUGCAUGUUUCCAGUACGAAAGGCCAGAGGAAGUGAGGACGUGACCUGUUGUGUGGCAGAAGCACUGCAAGAUCCAAAGACAUCGCUGCUGAUGGACAGCAAGAGGGAUGAGUCAGUGCUGCAUCAUCCUCUGCACUCUCCCAGCAUGGCAGCAGUGUGUGAUUCCAUCUCUGAGCGGAUGUCCCUGCUUGGCAGAGAUCUUCGUCUUCAUCCUAUCCUCUGGUCCUCCUCCAGUCUGAUUCUGGCAGCCCCAGGCUGUGCCACCGCGGUUACUGGAUGUGCCUUCCUGCUCUGCUCUCUGCACCACAGAGAUCCAGGCCUGCACCCAUACCUCAUUCCUAUCACCACGCAGGGGGAUGUGAGCAAAGCAUCCAGCUCCUCAGGCCCCUCCGUGGGCAAGACCACACAAAACCUCGGGACAGAGAGCCAGGCAAAAAGAUCUUCAUAUGAAUAUUGGACUAAUUACACACAGGCAAGAAAUUGGAUGAAAAGGUAUUUCUUCCUUCAGAAGCCAAGAAGAGAGUCCAAACGCUCUCACAUGAUGAGAUAA
rnacentral:lncRNA from 1 species